CCUACGGGAGGCAGCAGUGAGGAAUAUUGGUCAAUGGCCGGAAGGCUGAACCAGCCAAGCCGCGUGAGGGAGGAAGGCGCAGAGCGUCGCAGACCUCUUUUGCCGGGGGACAAAAGGCCGGACUCGUCCGGUCCUGAGGCUACCCGGAGAACAAGCAUCGGCAAACACCGUUCCAGCAGCCGCGAUAAUUCGGAGGAUGCGAGCGUUAUCCGGAUUCAUUGGGUUAAAAGGGUGCGCAGGCGGGCCUUUACGCCGGCGGGAAAAUCGCGGGGCUUAACCCCGCCUAGCCGUCGGAACUGGGGGCCUUGAGUGCGGCAGAGGCAUGCGGAAUGCGCGGUGUAGCGGUGAAAUGCAUAGAUAUCGCGCAGAACCCCGAUUGCGAAGGCAGCGUGCCGUGCCGCAACUGACGCUGAGGCACGAAAGCGCGGGGAUCGAACAGGAUUAGAUACCCGAGUAGUC
rnacentral:rRNA from 1 species